UACGUAGGGUGCGAGCGUUAAUCGGAAUUACUGGGCGUAAAGCGUGCGCAGGCGGUGCUGUAAGACCGAUGUGAAAUCCCCGGGCUUAACCUGGGAACUGCAUUGGUGACUGCAGCGCUGGAGUAUGGCAGAGGGGGGUGGAAUUCCACGUGUAGCAGUGAAAUGCGUAGAUAUGCGGAGGAACACCGAUGGCGAAGGCAAUCCCCUGGGCCUGCACUGACGCUCAUGCACGAAAGCGUGGGGAGCGAACAGG
rnacentral:rRNA from 1 species